rnacentral:lncRNA from 1 species
UAUCAUUGGUAUGGGGGGGGUGGCCAGCCUGGAGCGGGAGGCCAGGAGAGACUGAGCAGAAGCAGCCACACUGUUCCCAAGACUGCACAGUGGGGCUCUCUGCGGCCUCACAUCUCUUAUAAGUUAAAGUAAAUAUAUAAAUAAAUAACUCUCCAGAAAAUGGGCAAUGAAUCUUGAGGAGGGUGAGUUCACAUUGGAACCAGUUUUCACGGGUGUAAAUCAGAGACAGAAUGUUCUCUGACCUUUCAUCACUGAAUUCUUGCAUUUGGGGUUUGGGAAGAGAUUUUUGGAUUUUUAACUGCAACUUUUGAUAUUUUAAGAUUCCUGAUUUUCAUGUUGUUUGUGCAGGGGAACAAAAAUAGGCCCCAAGAAUACUAAACUGUGUUUUAGAUCUGUGCCCGGAGCCCUCCUGUCUCUUCAUGGCUGCAGUUAUUGAGGGUGUUUAAGGCCACUGAGGAGCCCAGACUUUAUUGAACCAAUUUCCACAAAACGUUUAUACCCUGAAAACUUUGCCAAUGGAAACUUUUUAAUAGAAACUCAUAUUGCAAGAGAGUUGUGGUGGUGUGUUAGUUAUUAUGUUCACUGUAGCCAGUGCCUUGGGUGGGGGGGGACACUGCAGGCCACAUUUUCACUCCUUGUAGUGUUCUGACCCUGAAGCAUGACAUGGUGAAAGGUUUGGGUGAGAAACCUGCCUUUUUAAUAUUUUAAAAAGGAUUUUGCCAGAGGAUACCCACAGCUUAAAAUGGCAAGACCUCUGUUUACAAGGUUGAUGGAAGACAGGAGCUCUUAUGGUCUAAAUUUCCAAGAAGAGGGAGGCUUUUUAAAGAGCCUUUGGAAUAGUCAGUGGCCGUGGCUUAAUUGGAACCUGAACUCAAGUGACUUGGCACUUUCUUGAAUGACUGUACAGAAGGCGGGCUGGUAGAUGCCCCAGGCACCUGCUCUCCUCCUACCUGGGCCUGCUGGAGUCCAUCAGUGUGUCCUUAAGCAGACCGACACAAGUUGGCACCCUCAGGCAGGACAGGUGCCAUCAGUGGACACACACUUACCAGGUGCUUCUGAGACACAGGCACCAUAACCUCACUCCCCGGCCCCAUGACGAGAGGCUGGUGCUCCCCACUGGGGUAGGAGGAAGCUGGGGGGGAGGCAGGCAGGUGGAGUGUGCCAGGUAAGUAGGGUCUGCAGGGAGGGCCUGGAAGAGAAGGUUGCGGGCAGAUGUUGACCAGACAGAGGGUGUUGGGAGGCUGUCUGCCUUCUCUGAGCCCCUCGGGUACCAGGAGCUUUCCAACAGAGACUCAUAUUAACAGAAGCUCAUGCUGCAUGAAGGUUGCUGUGGUCUGCUAGCUGCCAGUCCCGUGUGUGGAAGAACACUGCCGAACACUGUCAUGAGCACUUCCACGACCGACCGUACCCAGGGCUCUCCUGAGUGAGGUGUGAUCAAGGAGUGGGGCUCUCUGUCAGGGGAUGAAGCAGAGGUUCAGGGAGUGCCGACAGGAGCCGAGGACCUUCCACGUGGUCUUCUAGGGCAGGAAGGGACUCUCCACAGGCUGCAGUUUGAAGACCUUUGGCCUGGGCAAGACUUGAGGACGUCAUUGCUCACUCCGCCUUCGGGAGCCAGCUCUUGUCUGUGUCUCUGCUCCUCCUUCAGAGCCAGUGGGUGAGGGUCUGACUCCUCUACUGCUGCCUGUCCCCUGCCUUCCAGGCCGGUCCUCUCCAGCCUGAAACUGUUCUGCUGUUUGUGAUUCCACGGUCCCAAAGCCAGAGCCACUUUGGGAGGUGCUUGCCUUUUCACCACCAUCCCAGGUGGUCAGCAGCUUCCUCUGUCUCCAAUCACCCAUCUUUAGCCUCCACUCCAUUUUCCCACGGUUCUCUGGGUCUUACCACGGUUUAUCACACCUGGACUCUGCCUGGGCGGUCCCACCCACCCCAGUGGUAGGACGUGCUCGUGAUACACACCCUGUCCAGGUACGCGUGUCUGUGGCUGUCGGAGAGACAUCUCUGGCUCCAGGUGUCCCCACCUGAACUCUCCACUGUAGCUCCCACACGAAGUCACACGUCUGGCAUCCCUCCUCUCCCAGUAAAUGUCACCCCUACUCCCUGAGUUUCUCAGGCUCAAAUCUGCGUCACCCCAAGUGUUUCCCCACAUAUCCAGUCCAUCAGCCAACCCUACUGAUCCUAUCUGGGGGACACAGCUAGGAUCAGUCCACCACCUGCCCCAUCACCGUCACAGGCCGCAUCUCCCUCCCCACCUACGCCUGCAGGAGCUUCCUAACUGAACUUGCCCCCCAUUCUUGCCCCCCUCUGGUCUGUUUCCCACAGAGCAGGUGAUCUUACGUUAAAGCCUGUCUAAACUUUCUAGUGACUUUCUGUCACAAUGAAGGUAGAAUUCAGAAGUCUCUUCCCCACCGAGGUUCCCCAUCUAUGUCAGCCUUCUCCAGCUUUUCAAAGCCACCCACUUUGUCUGCUCAGAACUUUCCCACGGGCCGCUCUCUGCCUGAAGUACUCUUCCUGCUACCCUGUUCUAGCCGGUUCUUGCCCCAGCCACCCCUCCGAAGGCGGUUCCUGGUUGCAGUUUCAGCAGGGUCCUCUGUUCUU